rnacentral:rRNA from 1 species
CAGUAGCCGCGGGAAUACGAAGGGUGCAAGCGUUGCUCGGAAUUACUGGGCAUAAAGCGUGCGUAGGUGGUGGUUUAAGUCCGUUGUGAAAGCCCUGGGCUCAACCUGGGAAUUGCAGUGGAUACUGGAUCACUAGAGUGUGGUAGAGGAUAGUGGAAUUUCCGGUGUAGCAGUGAAAUGCGUAGAGAUCGGAAGGAACAUCUGUGGCGAAGGCGACUAUCUGGGCCAACACUGACACUGAGGCACGAAAGCGUGGGGAGCAAACAGGAUUAGAUACCCCCUGUAGUCCCUGUCUCUUAUA